AUGAGGAGUUCCAUUUCCAUGUACUUGUCACUGGCUGCAGCGGCGAUGUUGCUUCUAGUACUGACAGCCACGGAGGCUGAAGGCAUCCGGCUAGACGCACAGACCCGGGAAUCCAUCAGAAGUGGCGGCGGCAACCCAAUGCUCAAUAAACCAGUCGAUGAUGCGGUCAAGGGUUCCAGUGAUGAUGCGGUCAAGGGUUCCGGUGGAUCGACGAGCGAGACGACAGGGAGCCCUGGUACUGCGAGCGAAGUUAAGGCAGUGCCUCCUGGGUUGCCGGAGUUCCAGGAAGACUAUUAUGUUCCAAGCGUUCACAGCCCUAGGCACCACUGA
rnacentral:rRNA from 1 species